AGAGUUUGAUCCUGGCUCAGGACGAACGCUGGCGGCGUGCUUAACACAUGCAAGUCGAACGAUGAUCUGCUCUUCGGAGUGGUGAUUAGUGGCGAACGGGUGAGUAACACGUGAGUAACCUGCCCUCCACUUUGGGAUAACUGUGGGAAACUUCAGCUAAUACCGGAUAUUGAAUACUGCUCGCAUGGGUGGUGUUUGAAAGAUUUUUUGGUGGGGGAUGGACUCGCGGCCUAUCAGCUUGUUGGUGGGGUAAUGGCCUACCAAGGCGAUGACGGGUAGCCGGCCUGAGAGGGCGACCGGCCACACUGGGACUGAGAUACGGCCCAGACUCCUACGGGAGGCAGCAGUGGGGAAUAUUGCACAAUGGGCGAAAGCCUGAUGCAGCAACGCCGCGUGCGGGAUGACGGCCUUCGGGUUGUAAACCGCUUUCACCAGGGGCGAAUUUGACGGUACCUGGAGAAGAAGCACCGGCUAACUACGUGCCAGCAGCCGCGGUGAUACGUAGGGUGCGAGCGUUGUCCGGAUUUAUUGGGCGUAAAGAGCUCGUAGGUGGUUUGUUGCGUCGGAAGUGAAAACACAGGGCUUAACUCUGUGCUUGCUUUCGAUACGGGCAGACUUGAGGAAGGUAGGGGAGAACGGAAUUCCUGGUGGAGCGGUGGAAUGCGCAGAUAUCAGGAGGAACACCAGUGGCGAAGGCGGUUCUC
rnacentral:rRNA from 1 species